CUCUUCAAAUAUUCGAAACGUCCUUUUUCCCUUCCCGUAUUUAACAAGGUCAUUAACACUAGAUUUCAAAAGUCAAUCAGUUCUGAUAUCUAAUCAUUCUUUGUUCCUAUUUAAACGCACCUAACAUUCAACGAAACUGUAUUGCUUUCUUCUCUCAAUGGAAGGCGUUUCUUUGAAACUUUUGCAACUUCAAGUUUCGUGUGAUGCAGAGGAAGUACAAAAUGAAUAAAUUAAAGGCAAAGCUCUUAUUGCCAAUUUCUAAACUUCAAGAUGAAGCACAAGAUAAAAAGAUGCGUCGCAAUGAGAAUGAUUGAUAGUAAUGAAGCAAGUCAUGAAGGGAUAAACUUAACACAAGACUCUCGGUGUAUUUACUUUUCCUUUUCCCUUUUUGUGUUUGGUCAUCUCAUAUUGAUUUAAAUUGGUCGUUUUUUUAUGUAAUAAAAUGAAGAAAUUGUAUUUUCUGGAUUUGACGUGGUGCAGAGAACAAUAGUAUAAUAAACUCAUUUGUAAUGUUUCUUGGAUUUUAAAAAUUCCAUAAAUGGGUUAUUUUUCCUCUAAUCAUAAGUAAAUAGAGACUCUAUUCAAAUGCUAUUAAAUCAUUCAAACUUAGGUUAAGUUCUUUAUAUUUAUGUGAUGAAUAAAACAUACGGAUAAAAGACAUACACAUAAGUUUACAUUAAAAAGAAGAAGAAAGUUGAUGAAAAAUUGGUAGUAGGAAGUAUCUCCAAAAAGCAUCACCAGUUAAAUACUCUUUUUUCGAGUACAUGAAUAAUUUUUUGCAUUUUGUUGUUGUGCUGUUGGGACUAUCUCUUUUUAUUUUAAUCCUUUAACCUGUGUAUAACAAAAAAUAUAGGUGCAAUUUUUAUUGAUUUUUGGUUUGAAAAUAUUUAUACUUGAAGUUAUAGGUACGUAUGAG